rnacentral:lncRNA from 10 species
UGGUCAAGCGUGUGGAGGAUGGAUCACCAGUCCAGGUACUGCCUCUUAGCAGUUGUGUGACAUUUCCAAGCUUCUUCAGCUCUCUGUACCUCAGUUUCCUCAUUUGUAAGAUAGGAAUAAUGUUAACGUCUAGGGUUGUAAGAAAUAAGAAACUGAUUCUUCAUUCUUCCUGUGCUCUAAACAUAAAGCUUUCCCACUGAACCUUUGUACCUUCACCUGCAUGCAUAACAUAGAUUUGUAAAAUAUGUACUGGAAGGAGCCUGUUCAUUAUGUAGUAUCUGUACCUGUUUAUGUUACUUACCUUGAUCCAUGUUGCAUUCAUCAUUUUAUAAUAUUGCCUGCCUUAGGUUUAAAAUCCUGGAAAGGACAGGGACAAGGCUGCUGGCUUGUACGCUGCCCAUAUCCAGAAGGUGCCACCAACGUAGAUGACCUCUGUGUUUGCCAGUGAAGAUAAUGUUGUCUGUAUGGUGAAAAGGGCAUACCACCAGAAGUUAGAGGAGUUGAGUCCUCAUUUUGGUUCAGCCACUAAGUUGGUGGUCUAGGAUAAGACCUUAGCCUUUUUUGGCCUUAGUUUUCUAAUCCU